AUUGCUGCAUUCAUUAUGGGGAGUUCGGGGACUUUCCACCUAAACUGAAAGAAAAACAAUGUGCUGUGUGAUAGCUAUAAUGUUAUGUAGGCCUAUUGAAAGAAAUAUGCUAUGCUUAGUACUGAUUUUCUGUUUAUAGCAUUUUACAACAGGAUUCUUAUGUAUUUCCAGCUUUCUCUACAUAAAAGGAAGAAACGUCUUUGCCACGGAGCAGGUAGGCAAACUUUGUUGUGUUAACAUAUAUAACGACACGUGUAGGGCAAUGUAAUGAACAUAUACAUAUUAAAGUCCCAUCCAAAUGGGGAGAACAAAACCUUAAAAGGAUCGGGAAAGCCUAGCUCAGCGAUAUACAUGUUAAACACCCUGGCUGGAUUCAAACCGCGGUCUCCCACGGGAGUGAAUGUGUCUUUAACCGCGUGGAAUGUGCUUUUACAACACUUUCUUGCUACAUGUAUUAACAUCGCGCCACGUUUGAAUAUUUACUUUCUUAUUAAGUUUCCCUUAGUCACAAAUAUAAUCUAUGAAAUGUAUGGCUUUUGACACAGGUCGUUUUAACAGCUUAUUGGUCAGUAUAAUAGGCUUAAUAGUAUUUAACUUGAACUUAACAAAGCUAUUUCAUGGCGCAAAAUAGUAAGUUUUUCAUUCAUUCUUGAAUGACAUUGAUACAAUAAGUAUCAAAAUAGGUGACGAUAACUGACGUUUUCAUCAAGGUAAAAGAAGAGAGAACUAUUUUACUGCCAAAGGAUCUAGUCUAUAUUACCGCAAAAAGCAUUCACAGAGGCGUACUUCGAACUGUGAACCGUUUUAUUUUAGGCUUACUAUAACGUCUCUAACCACUACGCUAUUUAACAAGGGGUAGAUCGGUCAGUCACUCAAUCAGACAGUCAAUAAGAGACAUUCACUCUCCCCGGCCAGUGCAAAAACAACUGUGUAGAGAUGCCUAGAGGCCUCUCCUGCUAUGUCCUGACUAUGGCCCCCAGCCCAGUGCAGAGAUAGCUUGGGGCAUAGCCAGGACCUGACACUUUCAGUUUCAUUCUUAUUAAUGGGGAAUUUUCCCCCAUUUCAUUCCAUAUGAUGAAAUGGGGAAAAAUGUGUGAAUGGCCCAUUCCGAUUAAAUGUUUGAUAACCUGUAUUUGUUUGUGCAGGAAGUCCAUCUACAGACACUGUGUGUACUAACUGUACUGGUGACACCUAUUCAGGUGGAUCAUUUACAUCCUGUCAACCACACACACAGGCCUGAAACCCCUACAGAGUAUUUGAUCACCUACCGACUUCAGGAGAAACCCAGCUGCCCUUUCCCCCAUUGCCCUGGGUGGUUCCCCAGUCAACUCUGUGGAGUCCUUUCGCUUUCUGGGCACCACCAUCAGCCAGGACCUCAAGUGGGAGCUGAACAUCACCUCGCUCACAAAGAAAGCAGAGGAUGUACUUCCUGUGGCAGCUAAAAAAGUUCAACCUGAACAAAGACUAUUAUGGGGCAUUUCCACACUGCCAUCCUAGAGUCCAUCUUGACCUCUUUCACUGUCUGGUAUGCUGCAGCCUGCCCUUGCAGCCUGUCCUUGGCAGUAUCAUCCACUCUGCAGAGAGGGUAAUUGGCUGCAAUCUGCCGUCUCUACAAGACCUACACACCUCCAGGACGCGGAGGCGAGCGGCAAAUAUUGGGGCUGAUCCCUCUCACCCAGGAAAUGGACUAUCCAGAACUCUCCCCUCUGGCAGAAGGUUUAGGUCUAUCAGGACCAAAACCUCUCACCACAAGAACAGUUUCUUUUUUACAGCAGUAGGCCUCAGGAACAUGCCCCUGGAGCCAAACUCACUAUAGCCUGCUCCCCACAUACACACACAACCCUCAACAGGACAAAUCUACAACCCCUCCCCACAUACACACACAACCCUCUACUGGACAAAUCUAUAACCCCUCCCCACAUACACACACAACCCUCAACUGGAUAUCUUGCACCUUACAUAUUUUGUAGUAUAUUUUUUAAGAAUUGAUUAAUGCUCAGUCUACGGUUUUUAUGCUCAGUCCACUAGCAGAUCACUAGGUGUCGCUGAUGUGUGAUCAUGAUUAUUGCUCUGUCACAAACAUUUGACCGACAAAGGCACCUUAAUGAGCACCAAGAAAACAUUUGAAAAAAAAUAAAUAGCAUAUGAAAACAUGUUUUACAAAAGACUAAUAGCAUUAGGUUUAACAUUCCUGAAUGUUCUUCGAAAAUCUAUUUGGUUUGUACUCGUCAUUACCAACACCACAUAAACAAUUCAUACAAAUGAAUUGUCAACUGUCAACUGUAGCAUCUGUUCUCUAUCUCUGAUGUAUUUUCUCAUUGUGAUCCUGGUGAGAAAUUAAAUGUAGUGUUUGGAUAGAUGUUAUUGUUCCAUUGACCUUAGAUAUGUUGUAGUUUUACUUGUUUUAUGUGUAAAAACAAUAAUGACAUGUUAACCAAACAACGUGACAUUGCACCUGUUCCUAGGACGCUGAUUCAGGUUACAGGAACAUCUUGUAAUUGCUCUUGAUCCCAGGACAUAUAGAGAAGAUCCCACAACAUCCCUAAGGACUUGUUCUUCUGGUGAUGGUGUUGACUAUUUGGAAAUAAUCAACACCAGGAUUUUAUUUGCAUCUCAGAAUAACAUUUUGGGUUUUCUUUUGGUGCUGACUUUUGAGUGUCCUCUUGCCCUUUUUUUUUUUAACCGUAAUAGGAUAUCAGGCAGCCGUCCCCCCAGGACACUAAUGGAUUUUGGGCAGUUCCCCUUGGGCACACCCCAUGGCUUCUCAGUUUCUAAGAAGCUUGAGGAGACUGCCCACCAAUCCCUGCUUCUAACAUGGGACCCCCUCCGACCCCCCCAAUUCAUCACAGGAGAACACUGUGUCUCGUUAUUAAGGUACCAAUACACUGUGUCUGGUUAUUAAGGUACCAAGACACUGUGUCUGGUUAUUAAGGUACCAAGACACUGUAUCUGGUUAUUAAGGUACCAAGAUACUGUGUCUGGUUAUUAAGGUACCAAGACACUGUGUCUGGUUAUUAAGGUACCAAGAUACUGUGUCUGGUUAUUAAGGUACCAAGACACUGUGUCUGGUUAUUAAGGUACCAAGACACUGUGUCUGGUUAUUAACGUACCAAGACAUUGUGUCUGGUUAUUAAGGUACCAAGACACUGUGUCUGGUUAUUAACGUACCAAGACACUGUGUCUGGUUAUUAACGUACCAAGACACUGUGUCUGGUUAUUAACGUACCAAGACACUGUGUCUGGUUAUUAAGGUACCAAGACACUGUGUCUGGUUAUUAAGGUACCAAGACACUGUGUCUGGUUAUUAAGGUACCAAGACACAGUGCUGAUUGCACAAAGGGCAUCGGAUUCCAUUUUUGUUUCAUAUGGAAUUGACAAUAUACAACACUUUCUUGUCACUCAUGGGCUCUCAGUGGUUCCUCUGGCUGAUUUAAAGAGGCGGAGGCGUGGAAAUGCAACAGUAUUUACAGUAAGAUAUGGUUGUUGGUGUCAAACCCAUUGCCUGACUGGUUAAUUUGAUUUAAUGCUAGUAUUGUCUAACCUAGGUGGGUCAUAAUUCAUAUGGUGUGGUAGAUUGACUAUCGUUCAUAGAACCAGGGUUUAAUAGGUAACGCUUGGGUGUGUUUAAGUUGUAAAGUCUUUUUGUAAUUUCUAACAUAGACCGUAACGGGGAGACACAGGGAACAGACAACUGUUCAGGGCGCUGGAGUGCAUUUUAAUAAAGGGGAUACAGGAACAUUAACUUUAAGUUUAAAGAGUGUACGGAAUAUACGGUCUGUGGAUUCAGUGUCAAACCAUGAAUACAUUUUUCUUGGAGACAGGACUGGUAAGUAGGCUUUAGGUGGUCCAUAAAUUUAGCUUACACCCCAGUACAGUAGGUGGCGGUAAUGCACUGAAGAGGAAGAGGUUGGACAACGUGGUACAACAACCCACACAAAAGAGAAAGUGGAAGAGGAAAUUGGAAGAAGUUGACACAUGACACAGAUGUGAACAAACUCCAUUCAAUUGCCACUCUUUGAGGACACUUCAGGUAAUGAGAAAUAUAUAUUUACAGCUACAUGUAGGCUACUGCUUUUGUGUGAAUUUCACAACUGGAGGUUUAUGAUUGUGUGCAGACGUCAACUCAAAAGUCAGUUCAAACUACCCGCCUCUACCGGUCGGCACUUGUAUUGUAAUAUUUCUCUAUUCUAAGGAUUAAUCUGUAGAUAUUAGGGGCAGUACAUUCAUGUUCUUUCCUCUUUAUUAUCCCCUGAGGUAUUUUUUUAUUAGAUAUCAGUGCAUUAAUAUGGUAGAUACUAGAUUAUUCAGUGAUAAAUUAGUUUGCAAAUAGUUAGAGCCACCCCUUUUAUCUAAGAAUAAAGAAAACGGGGAAAAGCCUGUUUAAAAUCCAGAUAUGCAAAUCUGUCACACUUCUGCAAUAUUUGCCGUUUUGAUUACAUGAUAAGCCUUCAAUGUGAGUGGGACACUGUUUGCCAUCCACGUGUUCAGACACUUUCCUGCCUCACACAAUCUCUCAACAUCCCUCACCAUCUCUCAUCAUCUCUCAACAUCCCGGAGUUGCCUCUUCACUGAUAAUGUUGACGAGGCCUCUUCAUGCCUAGAUUAGAUUAGAUUAAACUUUAUUGUCACUGCACAGUACCAGCACAGUUAAAACGAAAUGCAGUUUCCGUCUAACCAGAAGUGCAAAUAGAGGAGUGCAGAGAAGUACAAUUAUAUGUACAUACAAGUGGAAUGAACACGUGUGCAAUUAAUGCAAAGGCAUUACAUAUGGCAAAUCUAAAUGUGCAGCGGAAAACUCACACAUUUACAGAAAAUGUACAGGUAUUAAGUAUCAUGUAUGUACAAGUGAGAUAAAUAGAUGUGGCAAUACUCAAUGGCAUUCUGAAUUUGCAAUUGAGGCAAAUUGGGGGGGUAUGGUAGUAUGUGACCCUGAAAGGCAGGGAUGGCAGCAAAGAGGUUCCCAAGGUAGACGUGUGCAACAACUGAAAAUGCAAGUACAGUGGCAGUUCUAAAUGUGCAGUGUGCAGUGAGGGCGGGGUUAAGGUGCAGGUUUAAGGCGCAAGUCGGCAUUAAAUGAAAUACAGGAAUAGCAGCAAUGACACUGAUAAAUCUUACCAGACUAGUCCAGUAGUGCAGAGGGUGGGCAAUGCAUAGUUAGCGAUGGGGAGUCACAGAGUUCAGCAGAUGGAAAGAUACUGUUCCUGAGCCUGCCGGUGAGUGAACGGAGAGACCUGUACCCGCGUGCCUGAUUGGAGGAGGGCAAACCGAUUAUGGCGUGGGUGUGAAGGGACCCUGGUGAUGCAGCAAUGGCUGGGAGCUGGGUGCCCGUGGCGUGCUGGGCGGUUUUCACCACCCGUUGCAGGGCCUUCCGGUCAGCUGUGGAGCAUCCACCAAACCACACUGUGGCAGCGGUACAAGUUCACAAGGAUCCUGGAAGACAGGCGGGCCUUCUUCAGGCUCCUCAAGAAGUACAGGCGCUGAAAAUCAGGCAUUUUCAGCUACAGUACAGUAGUCAACUUUAACAAUGUCUACAAUGUAUUUCUGAUCAGUUUGAUGUUAUUUUAAUUGACUUUUGCUUUUCUUUCAAAAACUAGGAAAAGGUGUCCCCCUAAUUUCUUAGUGUAGGAAAGGUAAGGCACCAAACAGAAUUUGAACCCACCAGGACCACCAGAAAAACCGGACCUCGUUCCAUGAAGGAUUGGAGAACCAUGGAACCAUGGAACAAGAUAUGGAUAAUUUUCAUAUCAAUCAGUAUAAUUCUUCUAAAUAUCAAGUCCUCUGCUGCAUGUAAUCCAGCUGAGUAUAGAAUAGGUGUUGAAUGUUGUCCGAUGUGUUCACCAGGAAACCGUGUCAAUAAACAUUGUACAGAAUAUACAAGUACUUCCUGUGUUCCCUGUAUUGGCUCCACAUACCUUGAUGAACCCAAUGGUCUUACAGCAUGUACACCAUGUACAC